GCUAGGCUCAAGUAUCAGUUCCCAUAGAGCUGAUUUUCCAGAUCCUCAGCUUUUGAUGUUUCAGUUUUUCUCAGUUAUUCCCUUUUAAUUUGUUUAUUUAAAACUAAAUAAAAAAUAAGAAAAAGACAAAUAAAAAAGAGAAGAAAAAGUAAAAACAAAACAAAACAUUUUCAUGUGUUCAGCAGAACAUCAGGGAGGAUUCAAAAUAUGUAAUGGUAAAUUUCCAUUUCAAAAAAAAUCUUAUAGUAAUGACAUAAUAUUCACCAGUGUCCAUCUUUUUUUUCCUUCCUUGUAGGUUAUUCUUUAAGUCUUUGUUGUGCACUUUUUAUAUUAUUCUUUUUUCCCCUUUAUACCCUCUUUCAUUCCCCCCUCCAACAGGCUAUACAUAAUCAAGGAUAUAAUUAUGUAUACAUACACACACAUUUGCACACCUGUAUAUCUACACACACAUAUACCUACAUGCAAACAUAUAGACAUAUAAACACACAUUUACGCAUAUGUAAACAUACAUCUCAAACAAUAUUAAUCAAUUAUUUUUAGCCCUACAUUUUUUUCCUAAUAAAUUCUAUUCUUAAUCUUUGUUAUAGUGUUUGUGAAUAUCUUAUUUCCUAUCCCUGCUAACUUUUCUACUUUUGUUCUAUUCCUUAACUUGCCUUAUUAUUACUUAACCCUUCCCUAUUUUGGAUCCCUCCCUUACAUUCUCCUUCCACUCUUUCCUCCCUUUUUAUUCCUUUCCUAAUAAUGUAUACACCUUGUCCCGUUUUCAUAAAUCUAUAUAUCCUUCUAUACUCUAUCUUAUCCUAUUCUCUACCCCCUUAUUUCUUUAUAGAUUUUGGAGGGAGCUGUACCCUUCAUGAUAGAUACAUACAUAUAUAUGUACGCAUGUAUGUAUGUAUUAUUCCCUGUUUAACCUAUUUCUGAUGUGAGUAAAUUUUCAGAACUACCAGUCUCCUCUCCCUUCUCUAAUUCCUCUGUGUAGGUUCUUUCUCUGAACUUCAUUCGGAUAGCAUAAUUACUGUUUUUAUCUUUUCCUAGAUAGUUUUGCUUUUUAGAGUCAAAUCAUACUCAAUUCCACCCCACUUUUUCUUUUAGAUGACCCAAUUACUAACAUCAGUCUUAGAUAUAUAGUUUGCAUUUCCACAUAUUGAAACCAUAAACAGUUUGUUGUUAUUGAGGCUCUUGAAAUUAGUUUUUGAUAUUGGCUUUUAUAUGUUCCAUUUUCUAUUGAGUUCAGGUUAAGUUGAGAUAGAAUCCUUAAAAUCUACGAGUUUAUUAAAUGUCCAUUUUUUUCAUUCAAUAUUAUGCUUAAUUUUGCUGGAUAUAGUAUUUUUGGCUGCAAGUUUAAUUCUUUUGAUUGUCAAUACAUAUUUUCCAGGACCUGCAGUCUUUUAUUAUAGCUGCUGAGAAGUCCUGUAAAAUUCUACUUGUAGUGCCAACAUAUUUGAAUGAUAGUCAUGGUUGUUGUUUCUUGUAAAAUUUUCUCUUUGAUCUUGGGGUUUCAAAAUUUAGCAAUAAUGUUCCUAUGUGUUUUCCUUAUAGCUUCUCUUUGAGAUGGUGAUUUAUGGGUUUCUUUUUUUUUUUUUUUUUCCCCUAUUUCUAUUUUCCCUUCUUGUUCUAUCACUUCAGGACCAUUUUCUUUGAUUAUUUCUUAUAUUAUUGUGUUAAGGCUCUUUUUUUGGUCCCAGCUUUCGGUUAGUCCAAUUAUUCUUGUUUCUCUUCUUGAGUAACAUGUUCUUCAGAUCUGUUAUUUUUCUUAUGUUUCACAUCAUGUUCUAUUUUUUCAUUCUUUAUAUUCUGUUUUGUUAUUUCUUGGUCUCUUAUAGUCUCACUGGCUUCCCCUUGUGCCAGUUCUAAUUUGCAAAAAAUUAUUUUCUCCUUUAAGACUCUGGAUCUCCUUUCCUAGUCAGCUGGCUUUGUUUUUAUAAUCUUCUUAUUUUUCUUGGAUGGUUCUCAUUUUAGUUUAGUUUAGUUUUAAUUUUUCCUCAAUCUCUCUCAUUUUAUUUUAUUUAUUUAUUUUAUUAAAGCUUUUUAUUUAUAAAACAUACACAUAGGUAAUUUUUCAACAUGGAAUCUUAAAGCCUUUUGUUCCAAAUUAUCCCCUCCUUUCCCCCACCUCUUCCCCUAGAUGGCAGGUAGUCCAAUACAUGUUAAAUAUGUUCAAAUAUGUUAUAUUUAAUAUAUCUCAUUUUAUUUUAAAAGAGUUUUUUUGAGUUCUAGAAAUUAUCUCUGGGCAAGUUGCCAUUUGCCUUUACUCUUUGGGGUAGAAGAAUCUUUUUUUACUUCAGUAUCCUCCUUUGAAGAUAAACGCUGGUCUUCCCUAUUCCCAUGUUUAAAUCCCACCUCUACCGGGAAGCACUGAUCAGUUCAGCCUGGGAUGUUCUCCAUAGUGAUAUGGAAAGCCACAAGCUGUUUGCUUCAACUCUCAGCCUCCGAAUGCCGAGCUGGCUCCGGCAACAUGAACAUCUCGAUGUCCCUGGAAGGCCUGCUGCUGAGGUAAGAGAAGGUAUCCCUGGAUCCAGAGCCUCCUCACCUGCCGUAACUGGGUUCCACUACGGACAGAAUGGCUGCUGACUGGCGGAGCGCCGGCUGUCUUGCUCUUCGGCCAAAAUGAGCCCACGGGGCAGAGAACCGACCCGUAGUUUGUGGCAUCCCAGCUUCAGAGGCUGCACUGAAAGCGCCAGGGGGUAGGGUAUGUGUAGGGCGACCACUGGUACAUACUUGGGUGGGAGGGACACCAAGCCCUUUUUGGAGUUGCUUUCCCAGCUGAAACUAUGGUAAAAUUAAAUGGCAUUAAUAUUUGGACCUCCAGAUUUAUAGCCUGCAAAAACAACACAAUUCUUAGCUCAUUAGAAUAUAAAACUUAGUAGACACCCUCUAGGCUAGCAUUUCUUGUAAACAACAUAUGGAUUCUUCCUCCUCAUCCACUAUGUUGAGCUCUUUGAGUUGGAGCCAUCCACAUACUUAAGAUCACUGCCUAUUUUCCUCCAUCUUAUUCUGAGACUUUCCUUGUUUCUCACUCCCUCUUUACAAAGGUGGCGGUGAGAAAGUUGGGUGCAAUCUGUUUUUGCUCUCCUGCCCAAGAUCUUUCUUUUGCUCGUUACUCAAUUACAAGCUAUUUUUUCUUUUAACUCCUUCUAGAUCCUGUUUGUUUUGCUUAGGACUACUCCCUCCUUUCCUCUGCCUUUUCUCAUGUCCCCAUUUCUCUAGUAAACAUUUUGUCUCUCUAUACCCAAUUAUGUGUCUAAAUAUCUUUUUCUACCUUUGACUGGUUCAGAUGUGUGAGGUUCAAGGCUCAGCCUCAUUGCCUCCUCUUCCUUGUUCUUGCGUUGCCCUCAAUGAUGCACGCCUACGGGAGAGAAUUUUCUUCCUUCUUCUGUUCUGUUUCCUUGCCCACUGAAUUCCUUUCUAUUUUUUUUUUUCCAAUCAUUAAAAUAGAAUCAAUCCCAAACCCUGUUAAAAGCUCCAUGGAUCUUUCCAACAAUAAGAGUCCUUAGGGGAUACGUCUAUCAUCAGCUCAUAUCAGAAUGUAAACAGUUUUUCCUUGUUUUGUCCUUUAUGAUUACUCAUUGUGUUUGCCUUUUUAUACUUCCAAUUCUUGUGUAUUUCAAAAUUUGUAUGCAGCUCGGUCUUAUAAGAAAUACUCUAUUUCACUAAUAAAGAUCUAUUUUCACCCCUA